rnacentral:rRNA from 1 species
AUACGGAGGAUGCGAGCGUUAUCCGGAUUUAUUGGGUUUAAAGGGUGCGCAGGCGGCGAGUCAAGUCAGCGGUCAAACUGCGGCGCUCAACGCCGUACCGCCGUUGAAACUGGCGCGCUCGAGUUUGUGCGAGGAUGGCGGAAUGCGCAGUGUAGCGGUGAAAUGCAUAGAUAUUGCGCAGAACUCCGAUUGCGAAGGCAGCUGUCCAGCACACUACUGACGCUCAAGCACGAAAGCGUGGGUAUCGAACAGGAUUAGAUACCCUGGUAGUCCACGCGGUAAACGAUGAUAACUAGUUAUCCGGCCAGAUUGAUGGUUGGGUGACCGAGCGAAAGCGUUAAGUUAUCCACCUGGGGAGUACGCCGGCAACGGUGAAACUCAAAGGAAUUGACGGGG